GACGAACGCUGGCGGCGUGCUUAACACAUGCAAGUCGAACGAUGAACCAGGGCUUGCCCUGGGGAUUAGUGGCGAACGGGUGAGUAACACGUGGGCAACCUGCCCCAGACACCGGGAUAACCUCUCGAAAGAGUGGCUAAUACCGGAUACGACCACUUUGGGCAUCCAACGGUGGUGGAAAGGAUUCUGGUCUGGGAUGGGCCCGCGGCCUAUCAGCUUGUUGGUGGGGUAAUGGCCUACCAAGGCGACGACGGGUAGCCGGCCUGAGAGGGCGACCGGCCACACUGGGACUGAGACACGGCCCAGACUCCUACGGGAGGCAGCAGUGGGGAAUCUUAGACAAUGGGGGCAACCCUGAUCUAGCCAUGCCGCGUGAGUGAUGAAGGCCUUAGGGUUGUAAAGCUCUUUCAGCUGGGAAGAUAAUGACGGUACCAGCAGAAGAAGCCCCGGCUAACUCCGUGCCAGCAGCCGCCGUAAUAC
rnacentral:rRNA from 1 species